rnacentral:rRNA from 1 species
CUUAAACUGAAGAGUUUGAUCAUGGCUCAGAUUGAACGCUGGCGGCAGGCCUAACACAUGCAAGUCGAGCGGUAACAGGGGUAGCUUGCUACCCGCUGACGAGCGGCGGACGGGUGAGUAAUGCAUAGGAAUCUGCCCGG